rnacentral:rRNA from 1 species
UACGUAGGUGGCUAGCGUUGUCCGGAUUUACUGGGCGUAAAGAGCGCGCAGGCGGUCGUUCAAGUCGAGUGUGAAAGCCCCCGGCUCAACUGGGGAGGGUCACUCGAUACUGAUCGACUGGAAGGCAGGAGAGGGUAGUGGAAUUCCCGGUGUAGUGGUGAAAUGCGUAGAUAUCGGGAGGAACACCAGUGGCGAAGGCGACUACCUGGCCUGUUCUUGACGCUGAGGCGCGAAAGCUAGGGGAGCAAACGGG